rnacentral:rRNA from 1 species
AUUGAACGCUGGCGGCAUGCCUUACACAUGCCAGUCGAACGGCAGCACGGGUGCUUGCACCUGGUGGCGAGUGGCGAACGGGUGAGUAAUACAUCGGAACAUGUCCUGUAGUGGUGGAUAGCCCGGCGAAAGCCGGAUUAAUACCGCAUACGAUCUACGGAUGAAAGCGGGGGACCUUCGGGCCUCGCGCUAUAGGGUUGGCCGAUGGCUGAUUAGCUAGUUGGUGGGGUAAAGGCCUACCAAGGCGACGAUCAGUAGCUGGUCUGAGAGGACGACCAGCCACACUGGGACUGAGACACGGCCCAGACUCCUACGGGAGGCAGCAGUGGGGAAUUUUGGACAAUGGGCGAAAGCCUGAUCCAGCAAUGCCGCGUGUGUGAAGAAGGCCUUCGGGUUGUAAAGCACUUUUGUCCGGAAAGAAAUCCUUGGCCCUAAUACGGUCGGGGGAUGACGGUACCGGAAGAAUAAGCACCGGCUAACUACGUG